rnacentral:rRNA from 1 species
GUCUACGGCCAUGCCACCCUGAACAUGCAUGAUCUCGUCUGAUCUCGGAAGCUAAGCAGGAUCAAGCCAAGUUAGAACUUGGAUGGGAGACUGCCUAGGAAUACCAGGCACUUGUAAAUG